CGUAGCUCAGUGGAUAGAGCGUCGGACUACUAAUCCGAGGGUCGGGUGUUCGAAUUGGCAGGGCAAAGCACCUCGACUGCCA
rnacentral:tRNA from 1 species